UACGUAGGGUGCAGGCGUUAAUCGGAAUUACUGGGCGUAAAGCGUGCGUAGACGGUUAUGUAAGUCAGAUGUGAAAGCCCCGGGCUCAACCUGGGAAUUGCAUUUGAGACUGCAUAGCUAGGGUGCGGAAGAGGGAAGCGGAAUUUCCGGUGUAGCGGUGAAAUGCGUAGAUAUCGGAAGGAACACCAGUGGCGAAAGCGGCUUCCUGGUCCAGCACCGACGUUCAGGCACGAAAGCGUGGGGAGCAAACAGG
rnacentral:rRNA from 1 species